AUCCUACGGGGGGCAGCAGUAGGGAAUUUUCGUCAAUGGGCGCAAGCCUGAACGAGCAAUGCCGCGUGAACGAGGAAGGUCUUCGGAUCGUAAAGUUCUGUUGAAGGGGAAAAAGAGCGGAGAGAGGAAAUGAACUCCGAUUGAUAUUACCCUUCGAGGAAGUCACGGCUAACUACGUGCCAGCAGCCGCGGUAAUACGUAGGUGGCGAGCGUUAUCCGGAAUGACUGGGCGUAAAGGGUGCGUAGACGGCGAGGUAAGCCUGAAGUGGAAGCCCGCGGCCCAACCGCGGAACGGCUUUGGGAAC
rnacentral:rRNA from 1 species